rnacentral:rRNA from 1 species
GACGAACCGCGCGAACGUUGUUCGGAAUCACUGGGCUUAAAGGGCGCGUAGGCGGGUAUUCAAGUCUGUGGUGAAAUCCGGCAGCUCAACUGUCGAAUUGCUGCGGAUACUGGGUAUCUCGAGGGAGGUAGGGGCGUGCGGAACUAAUGGUGGAGCGGUGAAAUGCGUUGAUAUCAUUAGGAACUCCGGUGGCGAAGGCGGCACGCUGGACCUCUUCUGACGCUGAGGCGCGAAAGCCAGGGGAGCAAACGGG